ensembl:rRNA 5S_rRNA 5S ribosomal RNA
GUCUACAGCCGUACUACCCUGAACAAGCCCAAUCCCUUCUGAUCUCGGAAGCUAAGCAGGGUCGGGCCUGGUUAGUACUUGGAUGGCAGACCACCUAAGAAGACCAGGAGCUGUAAGCA